rnacentral:misc_RNA from 1 species
ACUUCGGUGACGCCAUCAUUGUCAACGGGAAAGCCUGGCCUUACCUCCACGUCCACCGCCGCCGCUACCGCUUCCGCAUUAUCAAUGCCAGCAAUGCCAGGUUCUUCCGCCUCUUCUUCACCAACGGGCUCCGCUUUACCCACAUUGGUUCCGACUCCACCUACUUAGCUCACCCGGUGCCCAACCGGAAGUUCCUCCUUGCACCGUCGGAGAUCGCCGAUGUCGUGGUCGACUUUGCUGAAUCAAAAACUGGAUCAGCAGUUCUGGCUAAUGAUUCCCCGUAUCCAUAUCCAACCGGGGAUCCGGUAGACGACACAAAUGGCAUUGUAAUGAAAUUCAUUGUUUCAACAGAGCUGGAAAAAGAUGAGUCCA